AGUCACUGACAUUAGAUACCCCCGUAGUCCAGGGUGUAAACGCUGCAGACUUGGUGUUGGGAACCCUUCGGGGGUGCUCAGUGCCGGAGAGAAGUUGUUAAGUCUGCUACUUGGGAGUACGUCCGCAAGGAUGAAACUUAAAGGAAUUGGCGGGGGAGCACCGCAACGGGAGGAGCGUGCGGUUUAAUUGGAUUCAACGCCGAAAAACUCACCAGCAGCGACUGUUACAUGAAAGUCAGGUUGAUGACCUUACUAGAUUUUCAG
rnacentral:rRNA from 1 species